rnacentral:lncRNA from 1 species
GACAACAGAUACUCCUGAAUUUACUCAGAAUCAAACCAGAGCAGGGUUCCUCAUUGCCAGCAUGAUUAAGGAGGGCUCUUUGCAGCAGACAGCAUUUCACCAGGGCCUGCAAGGCUAGUCAGGAUUUGAAUGAGAUUGGGUCUGAGGCAGAGGAACUGCAUAAACAAGAGCACACAGGUGCCAAAAUACGCAGCACGUGGGCAGAAUGUCAAACAGCUCUGUUUCAUUGAAGCAUUUGAUAUAUGGAGGCAAUGGGGAGUCAGUGAAGGAUAGUGCCCUGGAGAAUGAGCCCAGCCAGGGAACAGGAUGAUUAAUCUGGGCAAUGUCUGCCGACUGGAUUAGAAUGUGCAGAGAUUGGAGGACAUUUGAACAGAAAGAUUAUCGAAACCACAAAGACAAUUUUUUUUUUUCCGGCAACAAGAAGUCGAAUUCUUUAGAACCUUCGAAAACAGAGGUAAUAUCUCCCUUUGGAGAAAACUUAA